CCUACGGGAGGCAGCAGUGGGGGAUAUUGGACAAUGGGGGAAACCCUGAUCCAGCGAUGCCGCGUGAGUGAAGAAGUAUUUCGGUAUGUAAAGCCCUAUCAGCAGGGAAGAAGAAAGACGGUACCUGACUAAGAAGCCCUGGCUAACUACGUGCCCGCAGCUGAGGUAAUACGUAGGGGGCACGCGUUAUCCGGAUUUACUGGGGGUAAAGGGAGCGUAGACGGCUGUGCAAGUCUGAAGUGAAAGUCCGGGGCUCAACCGCGGAACUGCUUUGGAAACUGUAUAGCUUGAGUACUGGAGAGGCAGGCAGAAUGCGUGGUGUAGCGGUGAAAUGCGUAGAUAUUAGGAGGAACACCAGUGGCGAAGGCGGCCUGCUGGACACAGACUGACGUUGAGGCUCGAAAGCGUGGGGAGCAAACAGGAUUAGAUACCCCUGUAGUC
rnacentral:rRNA from 1 species